CCUUCGAUAGCUCAGUUGGUAGAGCGGUGGACUGUAGCGGUAAUACUGUCAGAAAUCCAUAGGUCACUGGUUCGAAUCCGGUUCGAAGGA
rfam:Ciona savignyi cont_405, whole genome shotgun sequence.